rnacentral:rRNA from 1 species
GAGUUUGAUCCUGGCUCAGAAUGAACGUUGGCGGCGUGGAUUAGGCAUGCGAGUCGUGCGGCAGCAGGCCCUUCGGGGCGCUGGCGAGCGGCGAAAGGGUCAGUAACACGUGGAUAACCUACCCUCGGAUCCGGGAUAGCGGCGGGAAACUGCCGGUAAUACCGGAUGACGUCUGGUGAUGAACGUCAUCAGACCAAAGGUGUGAUUCCGUCAGGGGAUGGGUCCGCGUCCUAUUAGCUAGUUGGUGGGGUAAUGGCUCACCAAGGCAAAGAUGGGUAGCGGGUGUGAGAGCAUGGCCCGCGACACUGGGACUGAGACACUGCCCAGACACCUACGGGUGGCUGCAGUCGAGAAUCUUCGGCAAUGGGCGCAAGCCUGACCGAGCGACGCCGCGUGCGGGAUGAAGGCCUUCGGGUUGUAAACCGCUGUCAGAGGGGCGGAAAUGCAUUGGGGUUCUCCCCAGUGCUUGACUUAACCUCAGAGGAA